GGUUUCGAUGGUGCAGCAGAAGGAUUAAGUGUUUAAAAUUUUUAUUAAAAAUAUCCAAUGCACCGAAAACCCUAAUACCCAGAAACUCUUGACUAUAUCAAUCAAAGUACAAUAAAAUAAAUUUGGAUUAGAAGAAUACCUAUAGUGCUAAUCUUAAUUUUCACAAGACGUCCAAGUGUUCAUCCUCCAACGGUGAUCCACACAAAAAUUGAACCAAAGACAGCGCUCCUUCUUCACCUUGCUUUAAAAGUUCUAGCCCCUAAAACUCAACCAGCCAC
rnacentral:lncRNA from 1 species